rnacentral:rRNA from 1 species
AUUGAACGCUGGCGGCAGGCCUAACACAUGCAAGUCGAGCGAGCGGCGGACGUGUGUGUAAUGUCUGGGAAACUGCCUGCUGGAGGGGGAUAACUCCUGGAAACGGUAGCUAAUAUCGCAUACCAUCAGAUGUGCCCAGAGUGGAUUAUCUGGUAGGUGGGGUAACGGCUCGCCGAGGCGAAGAUCCCUAGCUGGUCUGAGAGGAUGACCAGCCACACUGGAACGGAGGCACGGUCCAGACUCCUACGGGAGGCAGCAGUGGGGAAUAUUGCACAAUGGGGGCAAGCCUGAUGCAGCCAGGCCGAGUGUGUGAAGAAGGCCUUCGGGUUGUAAAGUACUUUCAGCGGGGAGGCGUUACCCGCAGAAGAAGCACCGGCUAACUCCGUGCCAGCAGCCGCGGUAAUUC